rnacentral:rRNA from 1 species
CACGUAGGGGGCGAGCGUUGUCCGGAUUCAUUGGGCGUAAAGAGCUCGUAGGCGGCUCAGUAAGUCGGGUGUGAAAGCCCCGGGCUUAACUUGGGAAUUGCGCUCGAAACUACGUGGCUCGAGUGUGGCAGAGGAAGGUGGAAUUCCACGUGUAGCGGUGAAAUGCGUAGAGAUGUGGAGGAACACCGAUGGCGAAGGCAGCCUUCUGGGCCAACACUGACACUCAUGCACGAAAGCGUGGGGAGCAAACAGG